UGGGGAAUUUUCCGCAAUGGGCGAAAGCCUGACGGAGCAACGCCGCGUGAGGGAUGAAGGCCUCUGGGCUGUAAACCUCUUUUAUCAAGGAAGAAGAUCUGACGGUACUUGAUGAAUAAGCCACGGCUAAUUCCGUGCCAGCAGCCGCGGUAAUACGGGAGUGGCAAGCGUUAUCCGGAAUUAUUGGGCGUAAAGCGUCCGCAGGCGGCCCUUCAAGUCUGCUGUUAAAAAGUGGAGCUUAACUCCAUCAUGGCAGUGGAAACUGAGGGGCUUGAGUGUGGUAGGGGCAGAGGGAAUUCCCGGUGUAGCGGUGAAAUGCGUAGAUAUCGGGAAGAACACCAGUGGCGAAGGCGCUCUGCUGGGCCAUCACUGACGCUCAUGGACGAAAGCCAGGGGAGCGAAAGGGAUUAGAUACCCCUGUAGUCCUGGCCGUAAACGAUGAACACUAGGUGUCGGGGGAAUCGACCCCCUCGGUGUCGUAGCCAACGCGUUAAGUGUUCCGCCUGGGGAGUACGCACGCAAGUGUG
rnacentral:rRNA from 1 species